rnacentral:rRNA from 1 species
AACGAACGCUGGCGGCGGGCUUAACACAUGCAAGUCGAGCGCCCCGCAAGGGGAGCGGCAGACGGGUGAGUAACGCGUGGGAACGUGCCCUUUGCUACGGAAUAGCUCCGGGAAACUGGAAUUAAUACCGUAUGAGCCCUUUGGGGGCAAGAUUUAUCGGCAAAGGAUCGGCCCGCGUUGGAUUAGCUAGUUGGUGGGGUAAAGGCCUACCAAGGCGACGAUCCAUAGCUGGUCUGAGAGGAUGUUCAGCCACAUUGGGACUGAGACACGGCCCAAACUCCUACGGGAGGCAGCAGGGGGGAAUAUUGGACAAUGGGCGCGAGCCUGAUCCAGCCAUGCCGCGUGAGUGAUGGAGGCCUUAGGGUUGUAAAGCUCUUUCACCGGAGAAGAUAAUGACGGUAUCCGGAGAAGAAGCCCCGGCUAACUUCGUGCCAGCCGCCGCCGUAA